rnacentral:snRNA from 1 species
GACAGUUACAGCUCUUUUAGAAUUUGUCUAGCAGGCUUUCCAGUUUUUAUCAGAAAGCCUCC